rnacentral:misc_RNA from 1 species
GGGAGAUUGGCUAAAGGAUGAUCAAGAAGUAUUAAAUUGAGGUGACUGAAGAUGGCUUGCCAGAUGAAAUGCCACCUGAGAUUUCUAACAUGUCCUUUCCGUGUCUUUAAUUCUUCAUAAAAUGCAGGUCCUAGGUAAGGUUAAGAACAGCAUAUUGAACAUAUGCCAUCUAGUAAGACAGUAACCGCAAGGGGCUAAAGAUCUUCCCAUAAAAGAUAAGAGCAGUUAUGCUAUAGAAAACAGAAGCACCAAAAGGGGAUGCUGCAAUGCUCAGGUCUUGCACUUGGAACACGGAUUCAACAAAAAAGGUGAAUUUUAGUAAUUUACUAGCUAAACUAUUGGAUUCUUAUGAGGGUAUUUAUGUCACCUCAACCAGCCUCCUUCUAAAAGGUUCCCAUGGACACUAAAUAGCAAAAGACCAUUACUCCAUCGAAAUCAUCCCCUUUUUCGAAGGGUAAAGCAAUUCAUGACUUGAGGACAAAUUUUCAAAACUUGGGAAGACCAACGCAAUUGUGGCCAGAAAUGUUGAUGUGAAUUUAAAUGGAUUCAAUUCAACCUUAUAUAGGUAUACCCUGAAAACGGAGAGCACCUGAUAAAUGAGAUAUUAGAGAGACGCUCUCAGAUGAAAGCCAAUUCCUCUAAGUAGUCAACUCAGAGGUCAAAAGAAAACCCCAGAAGCAGUCCAAUUCCUAAAAUACAUUUUAUAUACUUGGCAUCUAUUUUGUUGAUGGUACGAAAAAAAUGAAUCAAUAACAACAUUACCAAAAAAGUCUAGGAGCACAGACCUGCAAAUAUCAGAUACUGCAGCGUCAGGCCUGAAAGGAGAGACAGCUUGCAGGGCAUUAGAAGAAAGACCCCCCUUUACCAGCUUGAGAGACAAAGAAGAAGGAAAAGGAGAGAAAUGAAGUGAGCGAUGAGAGAAGGAAGG